CCUACGGGUGGCAGCAGUGAGGAAUAUUGGUCAAUGGGCGCGAGCCUGACCCAGCCAAGUAGCGUGAAGGAUGACUGCCCUACGGGUUGUAAACUUCUUUUAUAAAGGAAUAAAGUGAGGCACGUGUGCCUUUUUGUAUGUACUUUAUGAAUAAGGAUCGGCUAACGCCGUGCCAGCAGCCGCGGUAAUAAGGAGGAUCCGAGCGUUAUCCGGAUUUAUUGGGUGUAAAGGGAGCGUAGAUGGGUUGUUAAGUCAGUUGUGAAAGUUUGCGGCUCAACCGUAAAAUUGCAAUUGAUACUGGCAGUCUUGAGUACAGGUGAGGUAGGCGGAAUUCGGGGUGUAGCGGUGAAAGGCUUAGAUAUCACGAAGAACUCCGAUUGCGAAGGCAGCUUACUAAACUGCCACUGACAUUGAUGCUCGAAAGUGUGGGUAUCAAACAGGAUUAGAUACCCGGGUAGUC
rnacentral:rRNA from 1 species